rnacentral:lncRNA from 1 species
UCAGCUAACGUACGGUGUGACUACUGCGAUCAUUGCCCCGGAUCGCAUGGAAGAUUAGACGAACUUGUUGUGCAUCGAGGUGGAACUUCGGUUCAAUGCUAACAUAGCAAGACUCGAGAGCGAACUCAAUGAUGUGGUAGAGGUUUUCUCUGACAAGAAAGAACGGGUCUGCACACUGGUGGAUGUUAUGAAGCACAUACAAGGCAACGUUGGGCACUGCCUGAUAAAUGAGACGGAAUUGCCUGGUGAUGAACUUCAAAUAUCAGCGCCUCACAUUUACUGCACUCCUGACAAAGUCUGCGUUUUUGCUGGCAGCCAAGCCGAAGUCAUCUCUGUCUCCACAUCUGGAUUACCGCGGGCACUUAUUCUUUGUCUUUUGGUGUAUUAUAUUAAGAACUUAGAGUAUCCAUUUGCGUAUUCCCGGAUGCUUGCUCUUGUGCAGACAAUUGCAUUGCCAGGAGAUAGGCCACCAAAAAUCGUGGUUUGUGGACGCCUGAAAUGUUUUUUGGCCUUUCUAAAGCAGAAAAAUGUAAUUUAAGCUGCAGCACUUUUCUCUGCUAUCUGUGUUUAUGUAGUAAUGCAGCUGCAUUACUUUAUGUAGCUUUCUUUGUGACAUCCCUUGUGUCUUUCAU